UUUUCACGUAAAGGAGGUGCACUAAGGUUUCCAAGUAUGAUUGCGACGUGGCCGAAAUAGUUUAUUCAUAUAUGACAAGGAGUGCCUACGUGAAUUGGUUCAAGAGGGAUUUCCAUGAUGCAGGUUAGCUGGCUAUUUUAAAAGGUCAAGGGUUAUACAUGGUAACCGAAUCAAGGGAACAAAUCCUAAUCGGUUUAGUAUUGGAGUUUUAUUAUUGUACGCAAAGUCUUCCUGUAUACGUCAAAGUCCAUCGUGCCUUAUAUAUAAGG
rnacentral:lncRNA from 1 species